rnacentral:rRNA from 1 species
UACGUAGGGUGCGAGCGUUAAUCGGAAUUACUGGGCGUAAAGCGUGCGCAGGCGGUUCGUUGUGUCGGCGGUGAAAGCCCCGGGCUUAACCUGGGAAUGGCCGUUGAAACUGGCGAACUGGAGUGUGGCAGAGGGGGGUGGAAUUCCGCGUGUAGCAGUGAAAUGCGUAGAGAUCCGGAAGAACACCGGUGGCGAAGGCGGCCCGCUGGGCAGAGACUGACGCUGAGGCGCGACAGCGUGGGGAGCAAACAGG